GCAUGGUGGUGCAGUAGGUAGCACCGUCGCCUCACAGCAUGAAGGUCCUGGGUUCGGAUCCCAGGCCUGGGCC
rnacentral:tRNA from 1 species